rnacentral:rRNA from 1 species
ACGUAGGGGGCUAGCGUUAUCCGGAUUUACUGGGCGUAAAGGGUGCGUAGGCGGUCUUUCAAGUCAGGAGUUAAAGGCUACGGCUCAACCGUAGUAAGCUCCUGAUACUGUCUGACUUGAGUGCAGUUGAGGCAGGCGGAAUUCGGGGUGUAGCGGUGAAAUGCGUAGAUAUUGGGAGGAACACCAGUAGCGAAGGCGGCUUUCUGGACUGUAACUGACGCUGAGGCACGAAAGCGUGGGGAGCAAACAGGAUUAGAUACCCUGGUAGUCCACGCUGUAAACGAUGAGUACUAGGUGUCGGAGGUUACCCCCUUCGGUGCCGCAGCUAACGCAUUAAGUACUCCGCCUGGGGAGUACGCACGCAAGUGUG